AUACGUAGGGGGCGAGCGUUGUCCGGAAUGAUUGGGCGUAAAGGGCGCGUAGGCGGCCCGGUAAGUCUGGAGUGAAAGUCCUGUUUUUAAGAUGGGAAUUGCUUUGGAUACUGUCGGGCUUGAGUGCAGGAGAGGUAAGUGGAACUCCCAGUGUAGCGGUGAAAUGCGUAGAGAUUGGGAGGAACACCAGUGGCGAAGGCGACUUACUGGACUGUAACUGACGCUGAGGCGCGAAAGUGUGGGGAGCAAACAGGAUUAGAUACCCUGGUAGUCCACACUGUAAACGAUGAAUGCUAGGUGUAGGGGGUAUCGACCCCUUCUGUGCCGCAGUCAACACAAUAAGCAUUCCGCCUGGGGAGUACGGCCGCAAGCUUGAAACUCAAAGGAAUUGACGGGG
rnacentral:rRNA from 1 species